rnacentral:lncRNA from 1 species
CUUUUAAUCCCUUUGGCAGCCUGGUAUUCACAACCUGAAAUCAAGCCUUAAACUUGCUUAAACCCAUGGCCCCAAAAAGGCAGCGGCUGUAAAGGUCUUUGUUGCUGUUGCUGCCAUAUUAAUGACCCAGCUUGGGGCGCUGCCGCCGCCGCCGCCGGCCGCUUCUUCCAAAGAAAACAAAUCAAACAUUCAGGAACACAUUACAGAACAUGAAGAGGGAACCAAGGAUUCUGGAGAGAUGAACAUCAAAUUCCCAGAGACCUCAAAUGUUCUGUUUGGAGAAACCAACUUGGAAACAAACCUAUGUUAAACUCUAUGCGACCAGAGAUUGGCCGUGUCUUCCUCUGUCACUUCUGGCAUAUACCAUGAACUAAGAACAUUUUUUUGAUGGUUGAUUAUUGGCCUAUGGGAAGGAGGAAGAAGGGAAAGGAGAAGGUCAAGGGAUAUUUUGGAAAUUUUCUAAUGUUUCUUAAAUGAGUAGGAUAUUUAAAAAAAAUAAAUGGUGUGAGUUUAUGGAAUCA